UCAAAUACUUAUUGUAUUACUUAAUUAAUUUUUCAGGUGUUCUGUUGUAGAUUGGUCACUGAUAAAAAAUAGUAUACAUUUUACUGAAUUAUAAUUUUUGUUAUUUUAACAUCUCAAGACCGCAAUUGGAUCUCAUCUAUUGCGCGAAUUAUGACUGAAUUUUUUGAAACAAAUGAUUGAAUGAAUUUUGUUAGCUGUGGCUUUAUUAUUCUGAAUUGAUUGGUUCAAAAUGUUCAGUAUUAUCAAAAUAAUUUUAUUCCGUGAACAAUUAUGUAUUUUUUUUGGUUGUUUGCGGAAUUUCAGUUUUUAAUCAUUAUGUAUGUUUUUUUUUUUUUUUAUUAAUAUAUACAUGUUAAAUGAGCAUAUUUAAAUGAAUAAUUAUUUUCAUUAUUGUCAUUAGUUAUAAAUUUAAAAAUAGACGAGUUUUGAAAACAUACAUAAUGAUUCAACUGACGUGCGCGGCGCUUGCAUAUUUUUAUUUUCGCGCGGAAAGAAAUUAAAUGUCUUGCUUGAAAAAAUUAAAACUUAUGGAAUUUUCAAACAAAUUUUAAUUUGUAAUUUAUGUUUAUUGCUUACUUGGUUUAUAAACUACUAAUUUUUUUAACAUGAGCAUUUGAUUUUUUUCAUUGUAUUCCAUGAAUAUAGAUAAAGCACUAGUUUGCAAUAUUUAAUCUGUAUUUGUUUCAUUUAUAACUUAUACUCAAUUUAUUAAUUUUGUAUCAUGACCGGUAUAUAAUGUAAUUACUUAUGAUUAAAUAAAGAACUUAGAAAUUUCUUAAAAUAGAGAUAAAUAACAGAUUAGGUAUUGAAACCUAUGUGUUUUUUGGUGAUGAAUAUCCAAUAGCUGUCUUUUAAUUUUUAUAGAGUAAGUUUUACUCAGCAUUAAAGAACUAAGUAUAUUUUUAUUUACAUUAUAUCUAUUGUAAAGCUAUUAAAACUAUUUUUUUUUUAUAUACCUACUAUCAAAUAUUUUAAUUAAUUAAAUGGUAAAAAUUUAUGUAACAAAAUAUUUAUUGAAAAAUUAUCAUAUGAAUCUAUACUAGUCUUAGUAAUCCGACCAUGUAAAAUUCAAUAUAUUCUGUAGGUAAUUCUUAUUAUUUUGUUUGUUUUUAUUGUUCAUUUAACUGAUUAAGUUAUACAAUUUUAGUAAAACAGCCUAAUCUAUUUUUUUUUCUAAUAUAUGUUAUAUAUUGUACUGUGUACAAUUUUAAUUUUUAUAAUGGCUAUUAAAUGUGUAAUACAUUGAAAACAUUAGAUAACAAUAAAUAUUUAACUAUUAAAAUUAUUUGAUAACCGAAAAUAUUAGUGUUCGGUUGGAUUAAUGCUAUUGUUACUUGAGACAUGGUCAGAUAAUUUAAAUUAAUAUUUUUUAUUAUUAAUUCAAGUAUUCAUCAAAUUCCAUUUGCUGUUUCUGCAAUAUAUUACUACGAUUACUGCAGUUAUUUGUAUAUAAGAAAGAUUUAUUUUAACUUGUUAAAUUACAAUAAAAAUAUUUAUAAUAGUCUUAAGACUUUACAAUAGAUAAACAUAUCAAUAACUUUGAUUCAUCUAGUUGAUGAGAUUUCGUUUAAAGUUUUCAUUGCGCCGAUCUACAACAAAAAGUUACCAAUGUACCUAUCGUUGUUUUUCAUCUUUUGUCUACCUUCCUGCGAUUUCUUUUCAUUUUUAUCCAAAUGGUUUUCCUGGUUUCGAAAAGUGAUGGACAACCCUGCCUUCCUUAUUAUUGAUGGUACCAUCCGUCAAUUUAUCUAGGUCCAUGAUACGAAAAAUGUUGUGUAUUUAGUUGAUGAGGAUGUACGGCGAGUGUGUUCCUAUUUCCUGAAUAGCUACCACCUCAUACAUUAAUAGGUACAAAGUAA